CCGUGCUAGGCGGGGAACUAGCGGUGCCCUGUACCUGCAAUCCGCUCCAGCAGGGCUGAAUUCCUCCCCGAGGUCACCGCGCUCGGAGGCCGCUGCCCCAGGCGACGUUGAGGAUCGGGUCCCGCGCAGCGGCGAAUCGCGAACCGUGUCAGGUCCGGAAGGAAGCAGCACUCAGCGAAGCUCGUCGGGUGCCGCGGAACGGCCUGGUCCGAGCCGCCUCCGGUGGUGGGCCCGGGCGUCGGUUGAUCGACGGGGGGUGCACGG
rfam:Chloroflexi bacterium RBG_16_70_13 RBG_16_scaffold_24144, whole genome shotgun sequence.